UCUGAUGUGAUUAAUUUGUGACGUCACUAAGGUGUAUAAAAGCAGGAGACCAUACAGGUCUAGUCAUGUUUACUGGUUUCUGGCAUAACCAUACCUCUGGAGCAAUUUGAACUGCUAAGAAGACCCCUGUUCAGAAUGGAAUCUACUAUUGUAAGUAAUUUUAAGCCUAAUUUUGAAGCACUUAGAUAUAAAAUGGUUUUUAUAGAGUGGUUGCUUAUUUGUUUGAUUGUAUUUUUUCUUUCACUAGAAUGAAUUGACAGAUUCAGAAUGUUUGAUGGGUAUUACAAUUAAUGAAUUGACAGACUCAGAAUGUUUGAGGGCAUAUGAAGAAUGGGUGGACGAUCAAGCAUUCGCGGAUCUCACUAUUCCUGCAGAAUCCCAGGGGUCCCAGCAUAACAUGACCCCUCAGCCUUCCACAAGCCGCACAGCACAAAGUCCGCUAGGAGGUAUAAUAUCUCACAUUUUAUCCAACUAUAACUC